UACGUAGGGUGCAAGCGUUAAUCGGAAUUACUGGGCGUAAAGCGUGCGCAGGCGGUCUGUAUACAGAUGUGAAAUGCCCGGGCUUAACCUGGGAACUGCAUUUGUGACUGCAAAGCUAGAGUGUGUCAGAGGGGGGUAGAAUUCCACGUGUAGCAGUGAAAUGCGUAGAUAUGUGGAGGAAUACCGAUGGCGAAGGCAGCCCCCUGGGAUAACACUGACGCUCAUGCACGAAAGCGUGGGGAGCAAACAGG
rnacentral:rRNA from 1 species